UACGUAGGCAGCAAGCGUUGUUCGGAAUUACUGGGCGUAAAGAGUGUGUAGGCGGUGCUCUAAGUCUGUCGUGAAAUCUCCCGGCUUAACUGGGAGGGUGCGGCGGAUACUAUUGUGCUAGAGGGUGGGAGAGGUAAGCGGAAUUCCUGGUGUAGCGGUGAAAUGCGUAGAUAUCAGGAGGAACACCGGUGGCGAAGGCGGCAUCCUGGACCAACACUGACGCUGAGGAGCGAAAGCCAGGGGAGCAAACGGG
rnacentral:rRNA from 1 species